GUGCUCGCUUUGGCAGCACAUAUACUAAAAUUGGAACGAUACAGAGAUUAGCAUGGUCCUUGUGCAAGGAUGACGUGCAAAAACCUUUUGAAAUCCAUGCAUGGGUUUUU